rnacentral:tRNA from 1 species
UAGCUCAGUCGGUAGAGCACGAGACUUUUAAUCUCAGGGUCGUGGGUUCGUGCCCCAC